GCUGGAGCCAUCGCGCCGCCGCCCCACACUGCGCGGCCGCUCCCGGGCCGGCUCAGGCUACGCGCGCUCUCCGGCGCCCUCCUCCCUGACCAGAAGGACAGGGGCGGAGCUAGAGCCGUCACUGAACCUGCCCAACGGCAGGCCCCGCCCACCGCGCCUCCAGACCGCCCCCUCCCCCUACACAGCUCCGCCCACCGCAUCGAGAGCAGGCGCACAGGGCCCAUCCAGAUGGCGCCCGGAGACCCUGUCCCUCCUGGGCUCCGAGAGUACUGAUCAACGGGAGUAGAAGUUCCAGAAAAUUCUCCCUGGGUCAUCAUGCUGCUGAUCAGCUUCCAUAGUCCUUCCUUUGCUUCUGAAUUUGGCCAACUGCCCACUCUUCCUUUAAAACCCAGCUCUCUGAAGACCUCCCUAACUCUCACAGUCAAGAAACAUGCGUCUGAGAAUAGAGACCUGGCUUUCUAUACUUUGUGAUCCAGUCUACAAGGUUCUACCUGGACCCACUAUACGCAACAAAGAAUACAGAUAAAGAAUUAACAGUUGUUGCUUUCUACGUGAGUCAGAUGAGCCACAACCACAGGGAAAAGAAAAAGGAGAGAUGUGCUUCCUUAGUCACAUGGAAUGACACAUGGGUUUAAGUCUGUUUUCUUUCUCUAUAUGAAAUAUGAAUGACACCUGAAGCUUACCUUUGGCCUGCAUGCAUAUACUUAUUCGCAAAUACCAGCACAUACACUCACACAUGAUCAUGUUACAUGGGAACUGGCAAAAAUGAAUUGGACAUCUACUGGAAACCAAGACUUCAGCUCAGGUGUGGGGAGGCAGAGUAGAAGAGCAAAACUCCUGGCUUUAACCUGAUACUAAUUUAACUGCCAAAAUGAAAUGUGACAAGACACCCUGACCAAGUGAGUUAGCAAACUCACUUUGCAAUAAACGCUUAAUAAACAUC